rnacentral:lncRNA from 13 species
UGACGGUCUAGGAACAGUGGGUUAACUGCCUUGUUCAGGGGCACAACGACAGAUUUGAAACGUUGUCAGCUCGGGGAUUUGAACUUGCAACCUUCCAGUUACCAGUUACUAGUCCAACUCUCUAAACCACUAGGCUACCCUGCCGCCCCAUAAGCUGUACGUUUUAUUGAGUUGCAAUUGGCGGACACAUAACAAGCUUGCGCUGCUUUCAUCAUGUCACACACAUUAAAUUAACAGAGGACAGGUGCAAUCGGGUCCAGUCGAUAAAUCCAUUCACUUAACAGAAGACGGGUCCAGUCGAUUUAAAUACAUUUUAAUUGCACCUACCGAGACCCGUGGCAAUUAUAUCAGACCUGACCCAGGUCCUAGACAACAGUAAGAAUUUGGGACCCGAACCUGGAAUUUUGUGUCUCUAGAAGACAUCUAACCUAGAGUAUUCACCGAAAUACAGAUCUGGAGUCUGUUCAUAAACAAGUGUCAGCUUAGAGCAAUUUACUGUCUUCACCUAAGUACAGGUCUGGGUAUAGCUCAUAAAUAAUGUGUCAGUUACCUAGUGUCUAUUGUCAUCACCCAAAUACAGGUCUGGAAUCUGUUCAUAAACAAGUGUCAGCUUAGAGCUAUCUACUGUCGUCACCCAAAUACAGGUCCGGGAACAGCUCAUAAACAAGUUGUCAGCUACCUAGUAUAUACUGUUUUCACCCAAAUACAGGUCUGAGGUCAGAAUCUAAAUAUGUUUAGGCUGUUGCUAGUGUUAACUGGUUGAAUCCAUAAACAUGUUUUGUUCAUCUGAGAAUAGCCCCUUAGCUGCCUGCCUGUCUCAGCCUUGGGAAGUCUGCAUGUACUUAUAGGCUCAUUUAAAAAACCCUCUCGCUGCUUGUUUGUGUUGUGGUGGUGACUCUCUCACUAAGAACCUUUUAAGACGGCAAGCUGCAGCAGGAGGACUAAAGCAGUGAGAGCAGGGUUCGGACUAGUCCUGACUACACUGUAAAUAAUGUUUGAUGCCGUCUAAAGUGCUGGUGGAGCUAGCCUACUGGAAGACGAUGAGGGAAGGGUGUAGAUGGGACUGUCUCAGCUCUGAGCCAUGGAAUGCCCCCUCUGUCCGCCACUAGCCUGCUCUUCUCCACAGACUGACCUCCAGACACUCAGUUAGCGACACGUUGCUCCCCUCCAUCUGAACACAACCAGGAAGGGGAAGAAGUCACAGCAGAGCUUCGUACGCACAGAGGACAGGAUUUACAGCUCCUCUCCAACAUAUUAACAGCUAGCUCACCUUAGUUAGUUUGGCUUAGUUUUCCCUUGUUUUCCCUGUGGAUUGGGAUU